UACGUAGGGUGCAAGCGUUGUCCGGAAUCAUUGGGCGUAAAGAGCGCGUAGGCUGCUCGGUAAGUCUGCUGUAAAAGUCAAAGGCUUAACCUUUGAAUGUCAGUGGAAACUGCCGGGCUAGAGUCCGGAAGAGGCGAGUGGAAUUCCUGGUGUAGCGGUGGAAUGCGCAGAUAUCAGGAGGAACACCGGUGGCGAAGGCGGCAUCCUGGACCGGCAUUGACGCUGAGGAGCGAAAGCCAGGGGAGCAAACGGG
rnacentral:rRNA from 1 species